CCUCUGCCUCACUGCAGGGAACAAAGACACUCAAAUUCAAUCACUGUGGAACAUUACUGACAUCAUUGCCUUUUAAUGUUUGUUUUGAAAAUAAAUGAGUUCUUCUAAAUAGAUUUAAAAUGUACCACUUAUAUUGUAUGUUAUCAAUCUAAUCUAACAUACAUUUUUUUUUACCUCUUAGGGAAAUAAAGUGCAGCCUUCUCCGGGUCCAACGUCCUCAGAUCGUCCAGAGGACACCUCAGAAGAAUUUGCUGAAGCCUCCACAGUAGUCCAACUGGUCGCGGUGUCUCUCCCGUCAGCUUUUGGUCCACGGUCCUCCUCCCCCCCUUCUGCCCAGGGAUAUAUCCCACUGUCCCCCUCACUCACAGGGGGACUGCUGGUGGAUCCCUGCUCCCCGUGCUCUGAUGAGGCGCUCUGCAUCUGCAGGUCUGACCUCGUCGCACUGCAUUCCUCGCUAUCUUUUAUGAGUUGUAUUUGUGCGUUGUUUAAAUCGGUCUCACUAUCUUGUUUUUUUGGGCUUAUAACAUCAGUCUCAGUGUUAAUAAGCUCAACGCUGGUUGUGCUUUCUUUGCAAGCAGGAGAAUUGGUUCCAUCUAUUAAAUUAGCUAUAAAA